rnacentral:rRNA from 1 species
UGGGGAAUAUUGGACAAUGGGGGGAACCCUGAUCCAGCCAUGCCGCGUGUGUGAAGAAGGCCUUUUGGUUGUAAAGCACUUUAAGCGAGGAGGAGGCGCUCUAGGAUAAUACCCUAGAUGCGUGGACGUUACUCGCAGAAUAAGCACCGGCUAACUCUGUGCCAGCAGCCGCGGUAAUACAGAGGGUGCGAGCGUUAAUCGGAUUUACUGGGCGUAAAGCGCGCGUAGGUGGCUAAUUAAGUCAAAUGUGAAAUCCCCGAGCUUAACUUGGGAAUUGCAUUCGAUACUGGUUAGCUAGAGUAUGGGAGAGGAUGGUAGAAUUCCAGGUGUAGCGGUGAAAUGCGUAGAGAUCUGGAGGAAUACCGAUGGCGAAGGCAGCCAUCUGGCCUAAUACUGACACUGAGGUGCGAAAGCAUGGGGAGCAAACAGG